rnacentral:rRNA from 1 species
CAAGUCUUGACAUCCCUCUGAAGCCUCUAGAGAUAGAGGCGGCCUUCGGGACAGAGGUGACAGGUGGUGCAUGGUUGUCGUCAGCUCGUGUCGUGAGAUGUUGGGUUAAGUCCCGCAACGAGCGCAACCCUUGAUUUUAGUUGCCAGCACUCUGGGUGGGCACUCUAGAAUGACUGCCGGUGACAAACCGGAGGAAGGCGGGGAUGACGUCAAAUCAUCAUGCCCCUUAUGACUUGGGCUACACACGUACUACAAUGGCUGGUACAACGGGAAGCGAAGCCGCGAGGUGGGGCCAAUCCUAUAAAAGCCAGUCUCAGUUCGGAUUGCAGGCUGCAACUCGCCUGCAUGAAGUCGGAGUAGCUAGUAAUCGCGGAUCAGCAUGCCGCGGUGAAUACGUUCCC